UUGGUGAGGUAAUGGCUCACCAAGGCGACGACGGGUAGCCGGCCUGAGAGGGCGACCGGCCACACUGGGACUGAGACACGGCCCAGACUCCUACGGGAGGCAGCAGUGGGGAAUAUUGCGCAAUGGGCGAAAGCCUGACGCAGCGACGCCGCGUGGGGGAUGAAGGCCUUCGGGUUGUAAACCCCUUUCAGCAGGGACGAAGCGAAAGUGACGGUACCUGCAGAAGAAGCGCCGGCUAACUACGUGCCAGCAGCCGCGGUAACACGUAGGGCGCAAGCGUUGUCCGGAAUUAUUGGGCGUAAAGAGCUCGUAGGCGGUCUGUUGCGUCCGCUGUGAAAACUCGGGGCUUAACCCCGAGCCUGCAGUGGAUACGGGCAGACUAGAGGUAGGUAGGGGAGAAUGGAAUUCCCGGUGUAGCGGUGAAAUGCGCAGAUAUCGGGAGGAACACCGGUGGCGAAGGCGGUUCUCUGGGCCUUACCUGACGCUGAGGAGCGAAAGCGUGGGGAGCGAACAGGAUUAGAUACCCUGGUAGUCCACGCCGUAAACGUUGGGCGCUAGGUAUGGGAUCCUUCCACGGAUUCCGUGCCGCAGCUAACGCAUUAAGCGCCCCGCCUGGGGAGUACGG
rnacentral:rRNA from 1 species